rnacentral:rRNA from 1 species
CUACGGGAGGCAGCAGUGGGGAAUUUUGGACAAUGGGGGCAACCCUGAUCCAGCCAUGCCGCGUGCGGGGAGAAGGCCUUCGGGUUGUAAACCGCUUUUAGCCGGGAAGAAAAGGCGCAGGCUAAUACCCUGCGUUCUUGACGGUACCGGCGGAAUAAGCACCGGCUAACUACGUGCCAGCAGCCGCGGUAAUACGUAGGGUGCGAGCGUUAAUCGGAAUUACUGGGCGUAAAGCGUGCGCAGGCGGUUCGUUAAGUCAGAUGUGAAAGCCCCGGGCUCAACCUGGGAACGGCAUUUGAAACUGGCGGGCUGGAGUGUGGCAGAGGGGGGUGGAAUUCCGCGUGUAGCAGUGAAAUGCGCAGAGAUGCGGAGGAACACCGAUGGCGAAGGCAGCCCCCUGGGCCAAUACUGACGCUCAUGCACGAAAGCGUGGGGAGCAAACAGGAUUAGAAACCCCAGUAGUCC